rnacentral:rRNA from 1 species
CCUACGGGUGGCAGCAGUGCGGAAUAUUGGUCAAUGGACGAGAGUCUGAACCAGCCAAGUAGCGUGAAGGAUGACUGCCCUAUGGGUUGUAACCUUCUUUUAUAUGGGAAUAACAUGUUCCGCGUGUGGGAUUUUGUAUGUACCAUAUGAAUAAGGAUCGGCUAACUCCGUGCCAGCAGCCGAGGUAAUACGGAGGAUCCGAGCGUUCUCCGGAUUUAUGGGGUUUAAAGGGCGCGUAGGUGGAUUGUUAAGGCAGUGGUGAAAGUUUGCGGCUCAACCGGAAAAUUGCAGUUGAAACUGGCAGUCUUGAGUACAGUAGAGGUGGGCGGAAGUCGUGGUGUAGCGGUGAAAUGCUUAGAUAUCACGAAGAACUCCGAUUGCGAAGGCAGCUCACUGGACUGCAACUGACACUGAGGCUCGAAAGUGUGGGUAUCAAACAGGAUUAGAUACCCGAGUAGUC